GUGAACGCUGGCGGCGUGCUUAACACAUGCAAGUCGAACGAUGAAGUCCUUCGGGAUGGAUUAGUGGCGCACGGGUGAGUAUACUAUAGGUAAUGUGCCUCUUAGUCUGGGAUAGCCACUGGAAACGGUGAUUAAUACUAGAUACUCCUUCUCAUUACAAGAUGAGUUGGGAAAGUUUUUUCGCUAAGAGAUCAGUCUAUGUCCUAUCAGCUAGUUGGUGAGGUAAUGGCUCACCAAGGCUAUGACGGGUAUCUGGUUUGAGAGGAUGAUCAGACACACUGGAACUGAGACACGGUCCAGACUCCUACGGGAGGCAGCAGUGAGGAAUAUUGCACAAUGGAGGAAACUCUGAUGCAGCAACGCCGCGUGGAGGAUGACGCAUUUCGGUGUGUAAACUCCUUUUAAGAGGGAAGAUAAUGACGGUACCUCUUGAAUAAGCACCGGCUAACUCCGU
rnacentral:rRNA from 1 species